rnacentral:lncRNA from 1 species
AAAUUAUGGUCAUUUCUUAAUUAGCAUGCGUGUGACGACGCUUGAAAAUGAUCUGCUUCUUUCUUCUUUUAUUCGUUGUCGGAUAAUUGGUCCCCUCGUUGUGACUUUUCCUUUUUCAGGGAGUACAAUAUUUCUUAGAUAAUGUAGUCGUGCUUCUUCUUUUGAUGCAUGGUUCAUCGUCAUCAUCGUCUUCCCUCAUCGGGUCACCGUACUAGUAGUAGUCUUCCUUGUUGGCCACUCCAUCCAUUCCGACGAUGCUCCUUUUGCCUCUCCUCACGACAACGCGGUUGGAAUAGAGAGGGUCUUUUAUGAAUAAGUAUUGUGUCAGGUGCUUAACGUCUACCCAUGGCUCAUUUUUGGCGGUGGCACUCACGGUAUAGGCAUCGGAUAUACACAUGGUAGUGAAAUGUCGGCUUUCUCUUUGUACGUUUUUAGCCCAUCUGACACGGAACAUCGUCGCGCUAUGCAAUCC